UACGAAGGGGGCUAGCGUUGUUCGGAAUUACUGGGCGUAAAGCGCGCGCAGGCGGCUAUCCAAGUCAGUGGUGAAAGCCCGGAGCUCAACUCCGGAAGGCGGGCGGAUACUGUCGGGCUAGAGUCCGGAAGAGGCGAGUGGAAUUCCUGGUGUAGCGGUGAAAUGCGCAGAUAUCAGGAGGAACACCGAUGGCGAGGGCAGCUCGCUGGGACGGUACUGACGCUGAGGCGCGAAAGCGUGGGGAGCAAACAGG
rnacentral:rRNA from 1 species